AUUGAACGCUGGCGGAAUGCUUUACACAUGCAAGUCGAGCGGCAGCGCGGUCUUCGGACUGGCGGCGAGCGGCGAACGGGUGAGUAAUACAUCGGAACAUGCCCAGUCGUGGGGGAUAACACUUCAAAAGAAGUGCUAAUACCGCAUACGUCCUGAGGGAGAAAGCGGGGGAUCGCAAGACCUCGCGCGAUUGGAGUGGCCGAUGUCAGAUUAGCUAGUUGGUGGGGUAAAGGCCUACCAAGGCAACGAUCUGUAGCUGGUCUGAGAGGAUGAUCAGCCACAUUGGGACUGAGACACGGCCCAGACUCCUACGGGAGGCAGCAGUGGGGAAUUUUGGACAAUGGGGGCAACCCUGAUCCAGCCAUUCCGCGUGAGUGAAGAAGGCCUUCGGGUUGUAAAGCUCUUUCGGCAGGAACGAAACGGCGAGCUCUAACAUAGCUCGCUAAUGACGGUACCUGAAGAAGAAGCACCGGCUAACUACGUGCCAGCCGCCGCAGUAAUAC
rnacentral:rRNA from 1 species